GACCACGUAGCUCAGUUGGCAGAGUAUUGGACUAGUAUGCCAAAGGUCGAGGGUUCGAUUCCCACCGUGGCCA
rnacentral:tRNA from 1 species